CCUCCGUUCGUCUCGCGGGGCAGAGAAGAUGGCUUCGCUCUUUUGUCGCCGUCAGUUGCGCCAAGCCCUCGGACACGAACGCGUCAAACGGGAGGCAUUCAUCUUGGAAUGCUCCCCCUCAGGAGCCAAGGUUGGCGGUUCGCUUUUGCCCAGCUCAGGGCAAUGCGAACGCCUCAACCUCCAGCCGCGCUGUCGACAGAGUGCCAGCUCUCACCCUUGGGAAAAGCGAAUCGAUGUCUCGGAGCAAGUUUCUCACUCUGCUGCUCAGUGAUGCAUCAGCAGAGCUCCUAAUAAAGCCUUCGUUCUUCU